GACGAACUGCCCAAACGUUGUUCGGAAUCACUGGGCUUAAAGGGUGCGUAGGCGGCUUGUCAAGUCAGGGGUGAAAUCCGGCAGCUUAACUGUCGAAGUGCCUUUGAUACUGGCGAGCUCGAGGGAGGUAGGGGUCCGUGGAACUUCUGGUGGAGCGGUGAAAUGCGUUGAUAUCAGAAGGAACGCCGGUGGCGAAAGCGACGGACUGGAUCUCUUCUGACGCUGAGGCACGAAAGCUAGGGGAGCAAACGGG
rnacentral:rRNA from 1 species